CAGAAGAAAUGUAGGAAAGCACUUGCUCAAGGAGCCUGUGCUACAUCCAAGUUAUGUAAUGGGUGUCUCCUAAAAUUAAAAAUAGUGGUUGACCCAAGAGCCAGGAAACGCUUUUCCAAGUUUUGGUCAUUUUCCCGUUCGUGCGGUUUUGUGAGACCAUUUUAGAGUGUGGUGUUUGAGUUCUCCUGGAUGCUUUAUCACAGUCCCUUCUCUUUUCUGCUGGACUCAAGUCACAAGUCCUCCUGCCUUUGCAGAGCAGAUGUUCCCCAAAAAUGCCGUGUGGAAGGGCGUGAUGACGGUAGAAGGUUCUCAUUCUUCCCCUUGGCCAGGACUUGUAAGAAAUUGCGGCUGGACUUGGCCACCCAUUGAUCAUCAGCGCUUUCCUGUGGUGUUUUUACAGUAAUCUUCUGAGAGGAAAACAGAGAGGAAAGAAAAAUCCACUCAUGCCCCAUAACCUCUCUGCCUGCUGCCAGCUUUCUUGUCAUGGAUGUGAAGAGGCCAUCACCAGAAGAUAGUUGAGAUGUUCAUUCCAAGAAUUGGUAUCUCCCCUUGCCAGAUCCCUUCUGAAAACCCCUCCAAGGCCUGUCUGUUAGUCUGCAGACAGGAAUUUGCACGUCCACAGUGACCAUAACAUUAAAUUUAUCUGUAUCUGUGGUCUUUCUCGAGGUGCCUGGUAAUCAACAGCUUUCUUCUCUCUCUUUGUCCAGCAAUUCCAGUGCAACAAUUAUCAUGAAUCAUCCAUUUUGUAUAUAUCUCAAUGACUGGUUGGGCUUAUUUUCACAUGAAUACACACAUCCCAUAGCACUGCUUGGUAGCUUGAAGCAAAAUGCGGUCAUAUGUUGUCCAGUAAUGACAUGAUUGCAUUUUUGUCUGUACUUUUUUUCUCUUCUUGAUUUGGUCUGUUGCCACCAUUGUGGGAUGCACUGGACUAAUUGCCCAUCAGAUGACAGGAGAACGUGCAAGUCCUUGAAAGUGGAAGCUUGGUUUGUAUGGAUGAGAA